rnacentral:SRP_RNA from 1 species
GCUGGGUGUGGUGGUGUGCACCUGUAGUCUCAGCUACUUGGGAGGCUGAGGCAGGAGGAUCACUUGAGCCUGGGAGGUUGAGGGUGCAGUGAGUCAUGAUUGCAUCACUGCACUCCAGCAUGGGAGACAGAGUGAGACCCUGUCUCAU